rnacentral:rRNA from 1 species
GAUGAACGCUGGCGGCGUGCCUAAUACAUGCAAGUCGAGCGAACAGACGAGGAGCUUGCUCCUCUGACGUUAGCGGCGGACGGGUGAGUAACACGUGGAUAACCUACCUAUAAGACUGGGAUAACUUCGGGAAACCGGAGCUAAUACCGGAUAAUAUAUUGAACCGCAUGGUUCAAUAGUGAAAGACGGUUUUGCUGUCACUUAUAGAUGGAUCCGCGCCGCAUUAGCUAGUUGGUAAGGUAACGGCUUACCAAGGCAACGAUGCGUAGCCGACCUGAGAGGGUGAUCGGCCACACUGGAACUGAGACACGGUCCAGACUCCUACGGGAGGCAGAAGUAGGGAAUCUUCCGCAAUGGGCGAAAGCCUGACGGAGCAACGCCGCGUGAGUGAUGAAGGUCUUCGGAUCGUAAAACUCUGUUAGUAGGGAAGAACAAAUGUGUAAGUAACUAUGCACGUCUUGACGGUACCUAAUCAGAAAGCCACGGCUAACUACGUG